rnacentral:rRNA from 1 species
GACGAACGCUGGCGGCGUGCUUAACACAUGCAAGUCGAACGACGUGGCGAACGGGUGAGUAACGCGUAAUCAACCUGCCCUUCAGAGGGGGACACCAGUUGGAAACGACUGCUAAUACCGCAUACUGAAGGAGGGGAUUGCGUCUGAUUAGCUCGUUGGAGGGGUAACGGCCCACCAAGGCGAUGAUCAGUAGCCUGUGCUGGGAGUUGAAGUGCCACAUUGGGAAUGAGACACGGCCCAGACUCCCACGGGGGGCAGCAGUGGGGAAUCUUCCGCAAUGGACGAAAGUCUGACGGAGCAACGCCGCGUGAGUGAUGACGGCCUUCGGGUUGUAAAGCUCUGUUAAUCGGGACGCGGUACCGGAAGAGAAAGCCACGGCUAACUACGUGCCAGCAGCCGCGGUAAUUC